CUAUAUAUCUUUUUAUCUGACCCACAAGGUGCUGACGGAUGGUGAGACAUGCAGUUGAACAGAUGCUCUGUGCUGCACCAUAAUAUGACCAGUCUAUGACGGUUAAGACCUUUAUGGAGAUCUGGAAAAGUUUCCCUUGAAACUAAAGUAAAGAUCUAUAGCAGUAAUGUCAAGUCCAUAUUACUUUAUGGAGCAGAGUGCUGGAAACUCGUUCAGAGCGACCUUAAGAAGCUGUCAUCCUUCCAUAACACCUGCCUUAGGAGAAUCUGCAAAAUCUAUUGGCCGAAAAAGAUCUCUAAUAAAGACCUAUGGAGUAAGACAUCUCAAAAGAGCAUCCAAUUAGAAAUUAAACAACGCAGAUGGAGGUGGCUAGGGCACGCCAUGAGAAUGAACAAAGCAUGCGCAGCAAAUGUCGCUCUCAGAUGGACUCCUGAAGGGAAAAGAAAGAGGGGAAGACCAAAAGAAACCUGGCGAAGAAUGAUAGAUGGAGAGUUGAAAGAGAUGGGACUGACCUGGAAAGAAGCGGAAAAGAAGGCAAGGGACAGACAAGUGUGGCGGGAGCUGAUUUCAGCCUUAUGUGCAGACAUGCACGAAGAGGACUAAGUCAUGACCUCAAAGGAGAAUCAAAAUUCAGGGAACUUCAAUUUGUUUCGUACCAAGAAAACAAAGAAAACUGAGAACCAGCCAUCCUUCCCUUGAAAAUAAAAUUGUGAUGAGACAAUCCAUUAGAUACAUACUAAAGCCUCAAUGUCAUCAAAGUACCAAGCGUUCCAACCCUCCACGACGUUUUCCGGCUUCUCCGAUUCCGAGUGGAGCUACAAGGAAGCACGAGAUUGUUUUAGACAUGCUUAGAUUUCACAGGGGGUUGUUUGUUAGACAGCCACCCAGAGACAUUCAGAUAUACAGGACAGCAGUUUGCAAUUUUUAGACUUGGCAAUUUAAUUUUGUUGGAUGUCAUAUACUGUAAAAGUGGUUAUUUACGCGUGGGGAAAUUUACGUGAUCACAUAAUUAGUGUAUCUCACAUGUGUAUAGUUAUAAAUAUUUGAUAUAAUAUAUUCAGUUACCACGAAUGUUUCCACCACGCGUAAUGUUGGAAGUGGAAAAACGCGUACUUAACCCCCAGCGUAAAUAACCACCUUUACCGUACUGCUAUUAGACAAUCUUUAGGAUUGCGAUUUUCACCUCUUGUAGAACAGGAAGUACAGGCGGGUUACAUUGCUGGAGGUAGUA